GAUGAACGCUGGCGGCGUGCCUAACACAUGCAAGUCGAGCGAUUUACUUCGGUAAAGAGCGGCGGACGGGUGAGUAACGCGUGGGUAACCUGCCUCAUACACAUGGAUAACAUACCGAAAGGUAUGCUAAUACAAGAUGAUAUAAGAGAUUCGCAUGGAUUUCUUAUCAAAGCUCCGGCGGUAUGAGAUGGACCCGCGUCUGAUUAGCUAGUUGGUAAGGUAACGGCUUACCAAGGCGACGAUCAGUAGCCGACCUGAGAGGGUGAUCGGCCACAUUGGAACUGAGACACGGUCCAAACUCCUACGGGAGGCAGCAGUGGGGAAUAUUGCACAAUGGGCGAAAGCCUGAUGCAGCAACGCCGCGUGAGCGAUGAAGGCCUUCGGGUCGUAAAGCUCUGUCCUCAAGGGAGAUAAUGACGGUACUUGAGGAGGAAGCCCCGGCUAACUACGUGCCAGCAGCCGCGGUAACAC
rnacentral:rRNA from 1 species